UGACAUUGAUCUUUUAUUCAUUAUUUUCUUGCUUACAAGCGUUCUCGUGCCCAGCUGUGAUACAGAGGCAAGGACAACAUGAAGUCCAAUAUGGUCUGUUUGCUGAUGAUUCUUUUUGCCAUUAGUGCCCAUACAACUAGGUGCCAUGGCAGGCACAGUUCUAGCAGUGAGUCGGGCAGUGAUGAGAAUAACAGGAAAGACUUGCAUAUACUUAUCUGCACUCUGUUUCCGGCUUUAUGCUCAAAAACAACUGCCACAACUGCCACAACUACAACUGCAACGACUACAACUGCUAGAACAACAGCAACCACAACCGGCCGAGGAGACAUUUAAACUACAGGCGCUUAAAUGAAUCCAACAUGAAGAACAUUUAGUAAGGGACACUGUAAAAUUGUUUUCCAGUAUGACGAUAGUAUUUUAUUUUGGUGAGGCCAAUGGCAAAAUCAAAUUUGAAUGGCUUAUAUAAAAAAUUUGAAUGUAUUAGUUUGAAAUAGUCCACCUUAUGUUGUUUGCUGUGCAUCCAUUCUAACUGCCAAAACCUGUAAAGCUGAGACUGGAGCUAAGUCAUGCAAAGCAUAAUAGAUUACUUAUGUUGAAGACUGCUUCCACCAAUGAGAAGACUCUGACAACACACUCAGUGCUCUCACACAUAAACAACCCCUGGAUGAUGACAGCUUAAGAAAAGGGAGGAGUGUAAGCUGCUAAAUACCAGUUUCUGCCCAGUCUGUCGUACUGCACUCCUGAAUCACCCUCUUGACCAAUACUUUGACCGUUCUGCUCUGCUGAUUCUUAUGUCUUUGACUGAAAUGUUAUGUUUUUCCCUAAUCAGUUUUGCUUUCAAUUUAAUUUGAUGUCUAAACAUCACAUUAUCAAACAUCCUUAUUUUGAAUGUAUCUUUUUUUCUAAACUCAUAUUUUUAAAUAUGACUGUGCACUGGCUGCUCUUUUCUGUGCUGUAAGUGAAGUUUGAUGGUUUAAUCACAUAUAGUUAAAUAAAAAUGUUUUCAAUGAUA